rnacentral:rRNA from 1 species
ACGAACGCUGGCGGCAGGCCUAACACAUGCAAGUCGAACGGUAACAGAGAGUAGCUUGCUACUUUGCUGACGAGUGGCGGACGGGUGAGUAAUGUCUGGGGAUCUGCCUGAUGGAGGGGGAUAACUACUGGAAACGGUAGCUAAUACCGCAUAAUGUCGCAAGACCAAAGCGGGGGACUUUCGGGCCUCGCACCAUCAGAUGAACCCAGAUGGGAUUAGCUAGUAGGUAAGGUAAUGGCUUACCUAGGCGACGAUCCCUAGCUGGUCUGAGAGGAUGACCAGCCACAUCGGA